CUGUGCAGCUUUCCAUGCUCUUUUUGCCCUGGCUGACUUCAUCUUGGAAUCCAGGCUAAAGGACAGAGCAGACCAAGUCCACCGGGAAGCCGUGACCACCUCCGCGCUGUGUUCUCUGAGCGCCAGGGACUGUGCCAAGGCCUUUGGAAAAUACCUGCAUCCCCACGAGAGGACAGACAUC